CCCGCCGUCUCCACAGCAACCAGGCGGCGAGAGGAGGACAACCGCUACCUCUACACCUCGUCCUAGCAACGGCGGCGCGAGGUGCGGGAGCCGAGAACAAUCCCUCUAGAUCGCCAUAGCAACGAGAAGAAACUGACUGACCUUGCCCAGACCUCCCAGUAAGCUGCCACUGGAUCAGAGGGAUGGAUCAACGCCAUUCUCCUAGCAACGGAAGCGUCACAUAAUUGCUGCCAGGGAAGCUUUCUGCCAGGCUACCUCUUCUUGAAAAAACACAACAGAAGCGGAGUGAGAAGUAGCUACAGUUUAAUACAAACCUGCACCAGAA